rnacentral:rRNA from 1 species
CAGUAAGGAAUAUUGGUCAAUGGGCGGAAGCCUGAACCAGCCAUGCCGCGUGCAGGAAGACGGCCCUACGGGUUGUAAACUGCUUUUGUACCGGAAUAAACCUAUCUACGUGUAGAUAGCUGAAUGUACGGUAAGAAUAAGGAUCGGCUAACUCCGUGCCAGCAGCCGCGGUAAUACGGAGGAUCCAAGCGUUAUCCGGAUUUAUUGGGUUUAAAGGGUGCGUAGGUGGCCUGUUAAGUCAGGGGUGAAAGACGGUAGCUCAACUAUCGCAGUGCCCUUGAUACUGAUGGGCUUGAAUGAACUAGAGGUAGGCGGAAUGUGACAAGUAGCGGUGAAAUGCAUAGAUAUGUCACAGAACACCAAUUGCGAAGGCAGCUUACUAUGGUUUGAUUGACACUGAGGCACGAAAGCGUGGGGAUCAAACAGGAUUAGA